rnacentral:lncRNA from 1 species
UCAUUUGUAGGUAGCUCAUUCUUGCUAAUUGUUAUAGCUUAGAUUACUUUAGAACAUUUAUCCUGUGUGCUCUGCACUUUAGGUUGUUUGUACAAACAAUACACUAGAAGGAAUUUUGUCCGUUUGAUGUGUGUUGAGAAAAAAGUUUGAAGUGUGUCGAAAAACUGUUGGUUUAUAUUGUUGUAAUGUGAUUCACUAGAAGGAAUUAUGACAGUAGUUCAGCGAAAAAGGUUUACCAGGUUUGCUGCAGGGAAGAGAUAGAAAGAGCGAAAUAGAGAAGGCAGGGGCGUGAUCUGUUGUAGGUAUGAAGUGAAGUAAUCCUUCCAUUAUUGUUGUUUGUUUUCGCAAGUCUGUUUUGCACAACUCUGUUUGCAGUGCGUGCAGUAACUGAUCGAUUGCGUUUUGAGGGUUUUAGGUGUUGAAUAUGACCGGACCAUUAAAAUAAAAGUUGUAUAUCUUUUCAAGAACUUUCGAACGAAUAUUUAUUUGCAAUUUUUCGUCAGAUAUUCUAGGAGAUAUUCCUAUCUGAAGUUUCAGGCAUGAGUUCCUAUUUUGUGCGGCCUUUUAAAGUAACUUCAAGGCUGAAUCUGUCCAUGGGUCUAUGGAUGUAUUUUAAGUAUUUGGUUUGAAAUUUCCAAGGAUAAUUUAUUCUGAAAUUUUCAUUGAGUAUAGUGAAAGAUACAACCUUCUGAAUGCUGUUGUCCAUUGCGAGUUCUAUUCUGAACUUCUGACAGUUACUGUUUUCUGUAUUGAGAGGUUGUUUUCUGUAUAGAGGAAUUUUGCUAUGGGACUGCACCUACUUGCCCCCUUGAUUUUUCAGUGUACUAGGCAAAAAAUAUUGUACUGAAUGAUCUGCACUAAUGUGCAUCCCUGAAAGUAGAUUGCAGUUAGAAUUAGAAACCAUUUUUUGGUUUGUUUCCUGAAAUUAAUAGCUGUUGCAAAUUGUAUAGGGUUCGUUGAUCCCAUUUCUUAUAGUUUGUAAUUGUAUUUCUACAGUCUAACAAGACCGUCGCAUGGAUUGAUUGGUUCGGAGGAGAACCGCAACAAGAUAUGCUGCUGAAAAAUCAACAUGGAAUUUGAGUCAGGUCGAUGUAGUGCAUUAACCUCGGCUGAUCUAUCUUGGGCCUCUCAUUUUCCUUUGGUUCUGAAUUCCACUGGUGGUAACUUCACUCAUAAAUUUUUGCUGCUCAGGUCUUUGACUUUUUUUUGCUGCAGAGAUAUUGGACCUGCUUGGGCUGAAAAAGAUAUGACCCAAGCUUAUAUUGAAGUAAUGUAUGAGGCUGAUUUAGUUAAUACUGCAGUUUGAAGAUUGUACAAAUAAUUGUAUCUGAAUAAACAAUUUUUCCUGUACACUGGAAUGUACUGAAUUUUUUGCUGUAAUAGCACACAAUGUCGUAGUGAGUUGCCUGAAUAAAACUUCAGGAGUUUGUGUACUGGGAGGGGAGCGGGAACUCAUUC